UGUGGAAAGUCAGACACUGACUCUACCAGGCCGCCUGUGCCCGCGUGUGGCAGGGCAGGUAAGCAGCAUCCUACAGUUCAGCAGGGAGGACAAGAUCCUAACAUGGUAUGUCUCUUCAUACUCUUCCUCACACCUGCUGUCCUCGAGGAAAGGAGUCUGACUCCAAGGAUGGGUCUCCUGGAAGAAUGAGACCUUGUCUCUUCACCCACCUUCAGUCUAUAACCUGAUGAGCCUGUGCGGCUCUGUACACACAAACUUAACUCUCUUCUGCCAACCCUGGGACAGCUUACUACCACACUCAGGCUAAAUGGCCAUCUGGAUAUCCAAUACUCUACUGCAAACAACAGAAAGGAAUCAUAAAACCUCAGCAAAAUCUACACUAUUAAACAGACAGGAAGUUGCUUCUAGACUAAUGUUUCACCAAAAAGGAAAUAAACAAAACUCACUUGUAAGAAAUACAUUCCACGGGGGCCAGGGGAGGGGUGUGAAUCACUUAUGUAAAUCUGACCACGUGUGCACGCUCGCAUUCUUCCAGGAAGUCCACAGACUGUGAAGGGUGCUUCCACACAGCCUUUCAUUCGCUCCUUUCAGCUGGGGAAGGUCAGAAGUGAAAUUUUUUGGCUCGCUCCUUUCAGCUGGGGAAGGUGGCGUUACAGAUUCUUUCCAGAGUCCCAUGAAGCAUCCUCCCACUGACCAACUGCUACACUGCUUCUGAGCACGAGCGGAGGUCAAGGACAACAUGCAGGCACUGAGGAAGACACUAGGAGCAGCAGCCUUCUCAUUGUGAAGGAGCUAGGGUGACCUGCCGGGUAGCAGCACAGGAACACGCGGAGCUAGAAUUCUGUGAGUGGCUGACUCAAGAGUGUUCUCAAGCCGCAGGAGAUUAGCUGACGCACCCAUCCAUUCAUACGACAAGCAUCUGAAUGCCUACCAUAUACCACAUACUUUCUAAGAUCUGUGACAAUGUCAUCUGUAUGGAUUGGUUUCCUAAAUUUUCUACAGGAUCCAUAACUCAGCACCAUCCAAAAAAAAAACAAAUUCCUGAAGCUUCAUAUCACCUCUGCCAUAAAGAAAAGCAACAGUCUAGGGGAAAUGGUCUUUAAAUGCAGAUUUCUGAAUGAAGUCCAUUUCCUCUUACAAGACUGUGUGCACUUCUGAGGAUGGAGACCUUGUUUAAUUCAUUCUUGGCAAUCUCAGUGUAAGAAUUAGUGACUUACCAAACAGUAAUAUAAUAACUUCUCCAUGAGUCUGUGUUCCAUAAUGAGCGUUAUUAUUGCAGUCAUUUCUGCAUUCCCUGCGACAGGGCAUAAAAUAAAGCCAUACCAUACACUUCACAGCUGUGUCAUGGCACGUGAGUUUAUGUAAAACAUUUACCAAAAGCAAAUGGCAAACCACCGAUAAGCAAUGCUUCUCUCUUCAUCUACCUCUCUAGCCCUACAGCAGCCAACCCAUCUCUCCUACCAUGGAUGGACAUGAACUCAGAAGCCAAGCAGAGCCCAGCUUAAGAAGCCGCCAAUUAACUAAAGAGCUUUUCCACUACCCAUUUCCUAUAGGUCAUUUUCCUAGACACCUAACCCAGAAAAAGACUCAAGCAACGUUUCCAAGAACUGACAGCGUGGGACUAAACCACGAGGCUCAGCUCCGUCUGCCUGGCUGCCUUACUCUGAGCACUACACAUGAUUCACUUGAAGUACAGGAAGAGCAAAGGUUCUUCCCUUCCUGUGAGAAGGCAGAAGGAAUGUCUGCAGCAAUAACACCGUUGGAGGAAAAGGCUACAGGCAGGCCACUGAACCAGGCAAAUUAGCUGCAUCUUCAAUUACACCCCAGCUAGUUUCCUCACUACUAGCUCUUCGUGCUUACUACAAAUCUGAAUUGGAAAACUCAGAGAUUCCAUGCUCAAAACAUGGCGAGCAGACCCUGACUCUGAAACCACACAACCAAACAAAGUAAAUCACAAAACACUGGGGCCACCUACAGUAAUCACUAUUUUUAGUUAGCCGAAUACUGCUCCACCCAUUUCUUUAUCCACUCAUUCGACUUACCCCAAUCUGAACCAAUUAAUAACCAUUCAAAAGUUACAGUACUCAAAAGUACACUCCCAAUUCCUGACCCACACCACUGACAGCUGCUUUGGGUCAGAUUCUCACCUACCCUAUAGCUCCAUCCCUUACAGAGAGGAGACGGCCAAGCAAAUCGCUCUGAUCAAGUCUCCACAGGCCCAGGAAGCCCUAGUCAAUGUUAUUAUUUUCUGCACUGAUAUUAAGAACUGUGGGGAGAGGCUCAGGGGUAGAACGCAUUCCUGGGACAUAUAAGGCCCUGGGUUCAAGUGAGGAGGUGUGGGGGAAGCCUAGGAGGUGGCGUCUAGGUGCAUGUUCAGCCACACUGGUCUUCUUCCUACUUUUUUUUUUCAUGGAAAAGCCCUGUUUGUUUGAUUAAAUAAAAAUAAAAUAAGCUGCUCAGGGGCAAUUUUUAAGUCCGAAGAGACACUGCUUUGUUUUAUGGCUGUAUCCGCUGAUGAGCAUCUCUUCUGUGGACCGCUGCUUACACCCCGAAGCCAUCACCUCACUGCACACAUCUGCAGCACUCGGGCUUCACGGGGUCACUGCUGGUCACGCCUGCGGCCAGCAACAGUAACACUGAAGGUUUGAAAGAGAAAAGUCCCAGAAUGGAGGGGACAUGUAGAAUCUAAGAACAAACAAAAACCACUUCUGCCUUGAAGUUUAAGGGAUAUUUCCCUAGUCAUGAUGAACUCCAAAACGCCACAGCAAUGUCAAAAUUGGCCAGAGGCCUCUUUUCUAUUUUAAAAUGCCCUUUCCUCCUUGGGCCCCAGCACCUGCUCUUCCCCCGUGCUUACUAUCAGCCCCCUCGCUCCUCCACGGGCAAUUCACUUUCACUGUAUCUCUCUUUACAAACACUCCUUCCUGACAGAAGCCACCCCCCACCUCCAAAGCCUCAUGGCGUGUUCCUCUCAAUUCUUCCACGACCUCGUCACCUGUCUGUCACACAGGAGCACACAGAGCCUACCUUUCUCACGGGCGUUCAGCUCCUAGCACGGCGGCAAGCACUAAAUGUGCGCUUGUGAUUUAGUGAAAAGGGAUACAGACACAAGUACCUUUCAAAACCUAACGCUAGAUUUAUACAACAUAAAGACAAUUUCAGGUUAACAUACGUCAAAUAAAUAUCUGUAAAACAAAGCCCAGCCCAGUGUGGUGGCAUGGACCCGAGAUCCCAACACUUAGGAGGCAGAAGCAAGAUGAUCAGGCACAAAGGCCAGCUUAAGGUAUAAAGCCAGUUUGAAGCCAAUCUGGACUAUAGGAGCCUGAAAGAAAACUGUGGGCAGGUGUGGGGGGGGGGGGGCAAGUGAAAAAAGGAGAAAAAGAAAGACCCAAUGAGAGAAAGAGGGAGGACUGGAGAGAUAGCUCAGGUGGUAAAGUGCUCGCUGAGCAAGCAUGAGGAUCUGAGUCCAAUCUCUAGCUCCCAUACUUUAAUUAAUUAAUUUUUUAAAAAAAGCCAGGCAUAGUGGCACAACCUUGUAAUUCCAGCACUGGGGAGGCAAAGACAGGAGGCUCCCUGAGGCUCGCUAGACCUGGAUCCCCAUGAGAGAACCUGUCUCCUAACACAAGGUUCCUGAGGAGCAACACUGAGGCUGACCUUUGACCUCUACACGUGCAUGCAUUCACGUACACAGAGACACUGCAAACACACACAGACACACUGCAAACACACACAGCACACAGCUCACAAAAAAGGAAAGAAACAAGUAAGGAGAGGGAGAGAGGUUACUACACAACUAUUUCUUCGCAGCCUCAUUACAGAGAGAAAUUCAAAUUACAGAAUGCAUAUAAAUGAGAUGGGGCAGGUCUAAGCUCCAGUGCUGGAGAGGCAGACAGCUCACGAGUUCAAGGUUACCCUUGGUUACAGUGAGAGUUCUACGCCAACCUGAACAACAAGAAAUCCUGCCUCAAAAAAGGAGGGAGACUUUGUAUACAAAUAAAAAUGUACAAGUACUGCAAUCCAAAAAAAAAAAAAAAAAAUCUUAGGUCCGGUGGUGGUGGCGCACACCUUUAAUCAGAGCACUCAGGAGGCGGGGGCAGGUGGAUCUCAGUGACCUGGAGGCCAGCCUGAUCUACAAAGCAAGCCCCAGGCCGGCCAGGGCUGUUAUAGAGAAACCCUGUCUCGAAAACAAAACCAAAUCAAAAGAAAAAAAAAUCUUUUAAAACAAGCAGAGCAACCAUUCCGAAGAUUUUAAAACAGUAAAAAUAGUAAGAGUAUAACUAAUUCUCUUUUAAAUAGGUGAAAUUUAGGACUGAUCACUGUAUAUAGUAACGGGUUUUUCCAUUUACUUAAUUACACACUAUCAAAGCUAAACAGAUCAGUUUCUACCUCGCCUGGAAUUACUACUGCAUAUACGUGGGUUUUAGACUUAACUGAUAGAACACCAGCCUCAAAAGCAUUCUGUGAGCUCUCAUGGGAAACACUUUAAAGUCUGUCUUUCUAGCCCUAAUACAAAAAUAGGUGAUGUGACUUCUACCAGUUACUGUGUUAUGGGUGCCACAAUUACAGGGAAUUAUUUUACUCAACAUAUAGAGUAAGUGCCAGGCACUUCUCCAAGCAAUUUACAUACUGGCUCAGUUAAAUUUCACAAAAGAGAUGUAAAUAGGUUAUUAGAUAUUAUACAGCUGAGGAAACAGAUAUUCAGAGGGACCAUUCCCAAGGACACACAGUUAAUAAACUAAAGAAAAAGAAAGUGAAUUGAGGAAGUAUAGGUCCGAAGUCCACUGCAAGAACGUGUUGUCUCCAAUGUGCUAAAGAAAAGUCUACACAUUUUAAA